rnacentral:rRNA from 1 species
CAUCACUACGCUAGAUGCAUAUCAAUAAGCGGAGGAAAAGGAACUAACAAGGAUUCCCCUAGUAACGGCAAGUGAAGCGGGAAGAGCUCAAAUUUGAAAUCUUAAAGGGUUUCCCUUUACGAAUUGUAGUUUAAAGAAGUGUUUUCUGUUGGAGUUUCGGUAAAAGUUCUUUGGAAUAGGACAUCAUAGAGGGUGAGAAUCCCGUAUUUGACCGUUACUUUCCAGCUGUGUGAUACACUUUCAAAGAGUCGGAUUGUUUGGGAAUGCAGUCCAAAAUGGGUGGUAAAUUUCAUCUAAAGCUAAAUAUUGGCGAGAGACCGAUAGCGGACAAGUACCGUGAGGGAAAGAUGAAAAGAACUUUGAAAAGAGAGUUAAACAGUACGUGAAAUUGUCAAAAGGGAAGCGUUUGACACCAGUGUUGUUUUUCCGAAAAUCAAUUACGAAUGUUUUGUUUUUGAGGAGUUAUGACUUCAUCGGCUUGCUCCUUUCUUUAUGAAACUUUCUUAAUGCACUUUUCGGUUAACAAGUCAACAUCAAUUUCUUUUGUUGUAAAAGGGUAUGAGGAAGGUGGCUUUCUUUUCGGAGAAAGUGUUUAUAGCCUUGUACCUCUGCAAUCGGAGAGAUUGAGGUCUGCAGCGUAGAUCCUUCGGGGUUAGAUACGUUUGUGCUAAGUUAUAGCCUUGUAUAGACAACUUGUUGACUAUGCUCAGUCAUGUAGCUUACUCGCUUGUGCUAUUUUACCUACGCUUAGGAUGUUGACACACGCGCGUGCUCG